UUAUCCCACUUUUUUCUCUUGUUUGACAUCCAAAGGGGGAGGAAGUGGUCUUGGAAGCUAAGCAGGCCAACUCUGAUUAGUACUUGGAUGGGAGACCACCAAUGAAUAUCAGAUGCUGCAGAGU
rnacentral:rRNA from 11 species